rnacentral:misc_RNA from 1 species
UUUCCGUAGGUGAACCUGCGGAAGGAUCAUUAUUGUAUAACCGAGGUGCGAGGGCUGUCGCUGACCCGAAAGGUCGUGCACGCCCGAGUGCCCUCACACACAUCCAUCUCACCCCUAUGUGCACCACCGCGUGGGUCCCCCUUUGGCUUGUUCGGAGGGGGGCUUACGUUUUCACACAAACUUUGUAUGCAGUGUAGAAUGUAUUUUUUGUUUUUGCGAUCACGCAAUCAAUACCACUUUCAACAACGGAUCUCUUGGCUCUC